UACGUAGGGGGCGAGCGUUGUCCGGAUUUAUUGGGCGUAAAGAGCUCGUAGGCGGUUUGGUAAGUUGGAUGUGAAAUCUCCACGCUCAACGUGGAGGGGCCGUUCGAUACUGUCGUGACUCGAGUCCGGUAGGGGAGUGUGGAAUUCCCGGUGUAGCGGUGAAAUGCGCAGAGAUCGGGAGGAACACCCGUAGCGAAGGCGGCACUCUGGGCCGGUACUGACGCUGAGGAGCGAAAGCGUGGGGAGCAAACAGG
rnacentral:rRNA from 1 species